AUGCUUCUAUUCUUCUUACCAGAGUGCAUGACCUCACACUUUCCCACGUGUACUCAAUGAUUUUUUGGUGGGAAGCUGAUGAUCGGUUGAAUCUAUCUCUUCGAUGAGUUGGGUGAUAGGUUCCCACUAAAUUGUGCCUGGUCUGAGAAAGAUGACCCUAUUUUCUCUGCUUUCUCAUCUCCGUAAUUUUCCUUUUCCAGAUUGCGAAAUGGAGUUAAAUUCUGUAAAGUGCAGAAGUUACCAGAGAUUUUGUGCAUUCACUUGAAGAGAUUCCGACAUGAGCUCAUGUUUUCCACCAAAAUCAACAGCCAUGUGUCAUUCCCUUUAGAAGGUCUUGAUCUUCAACCUUUCCUCGCAAAAGACAGCUCUCCUCAAAUUACAAUUUAUAAUCUCUUAUCGGUUAUCUGCCAUCAUGGUACUGCCAGUUGUGGCCAUUAUACAGCUUAUUGCCUAAAUGAUCUGAAUAAUCGAUGGUUUGAAUUUGAUGACCAGUGUGUGAUGGAAGUGUCCGAAUCAACUGUGCAGAAUGCAGAAGCUUAUGUGCUCUUCUACAG